GAUUUAUGUAAUUUCAAAAUUUCUAGUACCAGUUUCUAACUCUAACAAAUAUUCGAUUUUCGUUUUUAACUUUUGGCUGCAUAGGACAAAAAUCAACAAAAAUAGCGUUGCUCACGAUGUAAAUAAAUACUUAGCUACCUACCGUUAAUGAAACAACAGCGUCUUUUACUGUUGCAACAGACUCAUCUAUAGUUGAAAAUUUAUAUCUUCAGACCUUUGUCUCAAAAUUGUUUCCAGUAGACAAAAAAUCACCAACCACACAGUUUCGACAUAACGUGAUGCUAGAUGCUAAUAUCACUCGAAAAACUAAACGCCAAAGGGGCUGCCUCACUGAACCAAAAACUUCGAUAAGUGUCUAGAAUGCCAAGUAGAGGUGUACGCUGACGAGUCGAAAUAGAAAAUCAAAUCAUUUGUGUUGAAUAAUCCCACCGAGGAGGUUCAGAUCCUUUACGAGGAGUAUCUGGAAGACAAAUCCAAUGACAAAAAUAAAAUCUUUAAAGGAAAAAUCAAAGAAACCGAACCGAUGAACAUCCUGUUCCUACCAAAACAUCUAAAGGAGUACGUAACUAGCCAACUAGAGACGCAACUUACAAGCGCGCUACACGCGAAAUAUCAAUGUCAUGAGCAUAUACAAUAUCGUCUGAUAAUGGACGAAAAUAGAGGAAAAAAAUGACACUAAUCGAGCAUCAAAAUACAGGUGUAGCGAUGAUGAACACAGUUGGGAGUAAAGGAUUGCAUCAAUUUGUGCAAUUCAAGCAAAAUAUUGAGCUCACCUACGAAACGCUCACGACUAGUUUUUUUUCUAACCUCGGCUACGUUAACAUAUAUGAACACGUACAUAUAUAUGGAAUGAUAGGUACGCUCGGUUCUGAAGCUGAACAAGACCUUCUUUUUAGGAUAUACCACAUCUAUUUCGUUAAAAUUCCAACGUAUAAAGCAAAACAAUUUCGCGAACUUCCGGGAAUCGUAGUCGAGGAUGACGAAUGGACUGAUCGAAUAACUGUGGAAAUCCUUUCGUUCAUCGAUGACGGUAGAGCUACUUAGUUGUUUUCGAAUCAGAAGAAGAUCUAAUGACUGUCGAAUACAACCUACAGUUUUUGGUAGAUGAGCAGUUUAGAGUUCGACUUUAUUAUCGAGAAGAACGCGCUGCCGAAACGCAAGAAAGGGUUAAAGUCGGCAAUAUCUAUUAACUACAAAUAUCGCAGGCAGGGUGACAAAUUUUAAAACAGACAAAAUUGUAGAAAGAAACGGCGGUUUACAUGGCUCAAUCAAGGAUGACAGGGAUUACGUUGAAGUGAAAAGGUCAGAAAAAAUGGGAAAGAAUUUUGUUAAAGAGCUAUAUUUUAAAGAUACUUUGUACGCAUUGUUCGCUAAGUUGUACAGAGAACAGUUGCAGUUUCCUAAUUCGAAAAAAUACGUAUAUGUUCGGAGAGACAAUUUUGGGCGUUUUAUGUUUCAGACGUCUUUCCGUGGAGAGAUCAAUCACAAUCCUUAUUAAGCCUUUGACCUGGCAGAUUUCUACUUGGAACAGGGCGAAAUCGAAGAAGGAAGGAACUAUAUCGUGACAUUUUCAACAAGUCUUGAGAAACCAAGUCUAUAAACGAGUUUAAAGAAGCCAAGAAUCCCAAUAGAAAAAGAAAUACAAUACAUAAAAGAUUAAAUAAAUUCUAGCUUUAUGAGCAAUCUAAUCCCAAAAGAACAAGACAAAAUUUUCUUAAAACACCUUCUGUCAAGAUUGUGUUGCUUGAAUUUGCAGCUAGAAAAUAUCAAAGAGCUGAAUGUAAGCCUGCAGGACAAGAUCAUGGUCAUCGAAGCUAGAAUAUCUACAGAUUUCUAGAAUCUGAGCCUGAUGAUGUACGACACUCCAUGUGGCAAAAUGUUCUCCCGUUGCUGAGACGGCGGACCUUGCAAAUGAUUAUCUAUGUUGUUUAUCGGAGGCGGAGUAACCAUUUUGUGCAUGGGACUAGUUUUCUUAGCAUCGUUUCCAUUUGUGGCUACCUAAAACAGCGGCGACCUCCAUCUCUAAAGGUAUCGCUAAUAGGUAAUGGAAUUAUUAGUCAGCAGGGGUUAUGGAGGAAUUGAUUAUAUCAAACAAAAAGUGUUCUCUAUCGGCUUGGAUAUUUUGACGUUUUGACAUUGUAUGAUGCAGUUUGCAGUGAAAAGUAAAUUUUUCGCAGACUGGCAAAGAACACUGCAACUGUCAUGAUCAAGAUUAAUUCGACUUUGGAAAAAUUCAUUGAGAAUAAUACCCUCAGAAAAAAAGCGAAGAUUAAUUGAGAAAACGCAAGCUUACAAUAGGUUACGUAAAGUUUAAGAAAAUUAGAGGCAAGAUCUCGAAAAACGAAAACGUAAUCGCGAAGAAUCAUCUUGAAUUAAAAUUUGUGCAAUUCGUUGGAAUUAAUUUCAAAAUUCAGAUCGCCACAACGUUGUCAUAUACUUA